AGUCAUUUUCUGUUGAAAAAACAAUAAAAACAUUAAAGGCUCAGCAACUUUUUAUGUUAUUGUUGUGGUACAGGACUACAGGAGCAAGUGUGCAUUCACCUUGAUCACAGAUUUCGGUCUCCGAGCAUGUGGCGUGGCAGCACUGUUAAACAAUAUACAAGAUGGCGUCGUGAUGUUAGUCGCUGGAUUCGCGGACGUUAUCAGAAUACUUAUCAAAAUAAGUAAACAUUUUAACACAACCGGCGCCUGAAUUCGCGUUCAAUGCAUUUGAACAUAAUUAAACUAAGUGACAAGUGCACAAAUAUUGACCCUCGUGAAGUGAAUGUGUGAAAAACCCCGUUGAAAAAUGUAAUGUUUCUUUGUCUACACAAGUAGACUAUGCAAAGUGUUCAUGCUUGUUUUUUACUUCUGGUGACUGUUUCCCAUCGUUUAUUCCUCUAGGAUUAUUUUUUGUGAUAGAUACUCAUUCCCUAUUUCGAAGACUGGUUCAACAUUCCUGUGACUUUCAUUAAUCUGUAAUUCAACUAACAACAAUGUCUACAAUUAGAUGUAAGUUCUAGAUGUCGAUUUAGAUGUAUAGAGCUGAUGUUUUUAUUUGGUAAGUCAACUUUUGUAUUACCUAGCUAGUAAGUAGUAUAGAGUAUAGAGCCAGCGAAAAGAAUCGUAAUGUAAACAGACCAUGAAAUUACUGUAUUUUUUCUACUUUAAUUUACUGUACUAUAUUUUCUGAGAGCCAAAAAAUCCAAAUUACAUAUUUCUAUUUGCUGUGAUUAUAAUAUUCCAAUUAAUAUACACAAAGAUAACAAUGUCAGGCCAUGGAGUUGGGGUGUUUACAUUGUAAAAUGACGUGCACCCUACCCUUCGUGCUAUGGCAUGCUGGACGAGCCAUACAGCCUGUAGUCAACACCCCGAAGUAUGAGCGGGAA
rnacentral:misc_RNA from 1 species